rnacentral:rRNA from 1 species
UUUUCUUAGUAGCGGCGAGCGAAAAGAAAUCAGUUCAGCACUAAGUCACUUUGUCUUUAUGGCAAAUGUGAGAUGCAGUGUAUGGAACGUCUUCAAUCUAGUAUGAGAAAUUAACGAUUUAAGUCCUUCUUAAAUGAGGCCAAUUACCCAUAGAGGGUGCCAGGCCCGUAUAACGUUAAUGAUUACUAGAAGGCGCUUCCGAAGAGUCGUGUUGCUUGAUAGUGCAGCACUAAGUUGGUGGUAAACUCCAUCUAAAACUAAAUAUAACCAUGAGACCGAUAGUAAACAAGUACCGUGAGGGAAAGUUGAAAAGAACUCUGAAUAGAGAGUUAAAUAGUACGUGAAACUGCUUAGAGGUUAAGCCCGAUGAACCUGAAUAUCCGUUAUGGAAAAUUCAUCAUUAAAAUUGUAAUAUCUUUAAAAAAAUAUUAUAAUGAUAGUGUGCAUUUUUUCCAUAUAAGGACAUUGUAAUCUAUUAACAUAAUAAAAUAUUUAUCAAAAAUUCAUGAACUUUAAGUUUAUUCGGAUUAUUUUGCUUGCAUUAUAACAUAGAAUAAAUGUUUAUGAUUUGAUAAAGUGUUGAUAGAUUUAUCAUAUAUACAGUGCUUUAAUUUUUCGGAAUUAUAUAAUGGCAUAAUUAUCAAUGAUUUUUAUGUUUAUUAUAUGCACUUGUAUGAUUAACAAUGCGAAAGAUUCAGGAUACCCUCGGGACCCGUCUUGAAACACGGACCAAGGAGUCUAACAUAUAUGCAAGUCAUUGGGAUUUUAUAAACUUAAUGGCGUAAUUAACUUAACUUGUUAAUUAUGGGAUUAGUUUUUAAACUAUUUAUAGUUUAUUAACACAAUCCCGGGGCGUUCUAUAUAGUUAUGUAUAUUAAUAUUUAUAUUAUU